rnacentral:rRNA from 1 species
UACGUAGGGGGCUAGCGUUGUCCGGAAUCAUUGGGCGUAAAGCGCGUGUAGGCGGCCCGGUAAGUCCGCUGUGAAAGUCGGGGGCUCAACCCUCGGAUGCCGGUGGAUACUGUCGGGCUCGAGUACGGAAGAGGCGAGUGGAAUUCCUGGUGUAGUGGUGAAAUACGUAGAUAUCUGGAGGAAUACCGGAGGCGAAGGCGGGUAGCUGGCCAGACACUGACACUCAGACCCGAAAGCGUGGGGAUCAAACAGG